ensembl:snRNA U6 U6 spliceosomal RNA
GUGCUUGAUUCCGUAGCACAUAUACCAAAAUUGGAAAGAUACAGAGAAGAUGAGCAUGGCCCCUGCGCAAGGAUGACACGCAAAUUUGUGAAGUGUUCCAUAUUGUU